ACACAUUAUUUAAUCCCAUUUGCGGCAGUGUUUUGGACGUGCCAUGACAACGUAUGACAUUUGUACUGUCAUUUCUUGCUACCCCAUCGAAAAUUGUGUGCAUGCGCAUUUUAGUGCACAUUUAAUGCUCUUUAAAUGGCACAUCCAAAACACUGCUGCAAAUGGGAUUAAACAAUGUGU